UACGGAGGGUGCAAGCGUUAUCCGGAUUUACUGGGUUUAAAGGGUGCGCAGGCGGAUAUGUAAGUCAGUGGUGAAAUCUUUGGGCUUAACCCGAAAAUUGCCAUUGAUACUAUAUAUCUUGAAUGCUGUGGAGGUAAGCGGAAUAUGUCAUGUAGCGGUGAAAUGCUUAGAUAUUGGGAAGAACACCGGUGGCGAAGGCGGCUCUCUGGACCGAGACUGACGCUGAGGCGCGAAAGCGUGGGGAGCAAACAGG
rnacentral:rRNA from 1 species